CCCAUGAUACAGGAGAAGAUGAAUGUUUUGGAGCAGGUCGGUUUGUCUGAAUCCAACAUUUCAGAGAAGGCAGAAUCUGCCAGCUUUCACAGCAAGGAUCCUCAUCAGCUGACCAUCACUGAGAUGUUCCAGAGGUCCUUUGAUGAGGAGGAGAUGCUUGCUUUAGUUGAUCAAGAUCAAUGAUUGUACAGAUUUCAUACAUUUCCCUGAUCCCCUGAAAUACAGAAGACAAACUUCUCAUCACAUUUACCUCACAAGUAAAAGUUGAAAUAAAGUUUAUUUAUCAUUCCAGAAUAAGAUUACUGACUUUGUGUGAUUAAUGUUAAUCAUGUGUUUGAUUAACAGAUUACUCAAUCUUGAGACAUGGGGCAAAAAAAAAAAGA